rnacentral:rRNA from 1 species
CCCGCUGAACUUAAGCAUAUCAAUAAGCGGAGGAAAAGAAACUAACAAGGAUUCCCCUAGUAACUGCGAGUGAAGCGGGAAAAGCUCAAAUUUAAAAUCUGGCGGUUCUUGUAGCCGUCCGAGUUGUAAUUUAGAGAAGCGUUAUCCGCGCUGGACCGUGUACAAGUCUCCUGGAAUGGAGCGUCAUAGAGGGUGAGAAUCCCGUCUUUGACACGGACUACCAAUGCUUUUGUGAUGCGCUCUCGAAGAGUCGAGUUGUUUGGGAAUGCAGCUCAAAAUGGGUGGUAAAUUCCAUCUAAAGCUAAAUAUUGGCGAGAGACCGAUAGCGAACAAGUACCGUGAGGGAAAGAUGAAAAGCACUUUGGAAAGAGAGUUAAACAGUACGUGAAAUUGUUGAAAGGGAAACGUUUGAAGUCAGUCGCGUUGGCCGAGACUCAGCCUUGCUUCCGCUCGGUGCACUUCUCGGUUGACGGGUCAGCAUCAAUUUCGACCGCCGGAUAAAGGUUGAGGGAACGUGACAUCUUUCGAGGUGUGUUAUAGCCCUCGAUUCGCAUACGGCGAUUGGGAUUGAGGAACUCAGCGCGCCUUUAUGGUCGGGGUAGCAACCCACGUAACGCGCUCAGGAUGCUGGCAUAAUGGCUUUAAGCGACCCGUCUUGAAACACGG